UCCUCAGGUAGCUCAGUGGUAGAGCACCUGACCGGCAAUCAGGGGGGUCGUAGGUUCGAGUCCUGCUCUGGAAG